AUUGAACGCUGGCGGCAUGCUUUACACAUGCAAGUCGAACGGCAGCACGGGGGCAACCCUGGUGGCGAGUGGCGAACGGGUGAGUAAUACAUCGGAACGUGCCCAGUUGUGGGGGACAACCAGUCGAAAGACUGGCUAAUACCGCAUACGACCUACGGGUGAAAGCGGGGGAUCGCAAGACCUCGCGCUAUUGGAGCAGCCGAUGUCCGAUUAGCUAGUUGGUGGGGUAAGAGCCUACCAAGGCGACGAUCGGUAGCUGGUCUGAGAGGACGACCAGCCACACUGGGACUGAGACACGGCCCAGACUCCUACGGGAGGCAGCAGUGGGGAAUUUUGGACAAUGGGGGAAACCCUGAUCAGCCAUGCCGCGUGCGGGAAGAAGGCCUUCGGGUUGUAAACCGCUUUUGGCAGGAACGAAACAGUACGAGCUAAAACUUCGUACGAAUGACGGUACCUGCAGAAUAAGCACCGGCUAACUACGUGCCAGCCGCCGCCGUAAAAC
rnacentral:rRNA from 1 species